rnacentral:misc_RNA from 1 species
GAUGAAGAACGCAGCGAAAUGCGAUAAGUAAUGUGAAUUGCAGAAUUCCGUGAAUCAUCGAAUCUUUGAACGCACAUUGCGCCCCCUGGUAUUCCGGGGGGCAUGCCUGUCCGAGCGUCAUUGCAACCUUCAAGCGCGGCUUGUGUGUUGGGUCUCGUCCCCCGUGGACGGGCCCGAAAGGCAGUGGCAGCGUCCCGACAUGGUGCCCGAGCGUAUGGGAAUCCUCUUCCGCUCGAAUCGGCCCAUGCGGCGCUGGUCGUAACCAAAUUUUUUACCGGUUGACCUCGGAUCAGGUAGGGAUACCCGCUGAACUUAAGCAUAUCAAUAAGCGGAGGA